rnacentral:rRNA from 1 species
AGUGAACGCUGGCGGUAUGCCUAACACAUGCAAGUCGAACGGCCGCACAGUAAGAUUUUUCUUUUACGGUUGGCGAGUGGCGGAUGGGUGAGGAAUACAUCGGCUUCUUCUUUUUCUUGGGGAAUAACGUAAAGCAACUUCCGCUAAUACCUCACAUUUCCUACGGCUUAAUUCUGAGGAUCUUCGUACCUUGCCUAUUUCUUUUAGCCGAUGCCGGAUUAGAUAGUUGGGGGGGUAAGGUCCCACCAAGGCGACGAUCCGUAGCUGAUCUGAGAGGAUGAUCAGCCACACUGGAACUGAGACACGGUCCAGACUCCUACGGGAGGCAGCAGUAGGGAAUAUUGGGCAAUGGGCGAAAGCCUGACGGAGCAAUGCCGCGUGAGUGAAGAAGGCCUUCGGGUUGUAAAGCCCUUUUGUUGGGAAAGAAAAACAGCAGAAUAAUAUCCCGAUGUUCUGACGGUACCUAAAGAAUAAGCAACGGCUAACUUCGUG